UACAGAGGUCUCAAGCGUUGUUCGGAUUCAUUGGGCGUAAAGGGUGCGUAGGCGGCGCGGUAAGUCGGGUGUGAAAUCUUGGGGCUUAACUCCGAAACUGCAUUCGAUACUGCCGUGCUUGAGGACUGGAGAGGAGACUGGAAUUUACGGUGUAGCGGUGAAAUGCGUAGAUAUCGUAAGGAAGACCAGUGGCGAAGGCGGGUCUCUGGACAGUUCCUGACGCUGAGACGCGAAAGCGUGGGGAGCGAACAGG
rnacentral:rRNA from 1 species